AUAUUGAGUGAUGGAUUGUGUCACAGGAUGCCACUGCAUCACUCCACGUGUGACCAUGGCCAGCCCUGUGUGACCCCACCAGAGACUGGCUCCUUGCCUGUCUGCACUCCCAGCCUUGUCAACGUGAGGCACAGAGAUUGCCUAAUCUGCUCUUGUUAUUUCAUUAUGUGACUGUGCUGGCUUCUGGCUGAAACCCAUUACAACUGGCACUGCAUUCCUGCCCAGCCUGGGGCUGGCACUGCAUUCCUGCCCAGCCUCCAGGCACCUCCAGCUCCAGUGGCCAUGGGAAGGGUGUCCUCACAGUCUCUG
rnacentral:lncRNA from 12 species